rnacentral:sRNA from 12 species
UAGAGGAGAACACCGUCACGAACGACGUGAGUGAUUUAGGAUGGGUUCGACGAACUGCCGCCGAGCGAAUGCGAGGGGCGAUACCUUGA